AGUGAACGCUGGCGGUAGGCCUACACAUGCACGUCGAACGGCAGCACAGUAAGAGCUUGCUCUUACGGGUGGCGAGUGGCGGACGGGUGAGGAAUACAUCGGAAUCUACUUUUUCGUGGGGGAUAACGUAGGGAAACUUACGCUAAUACCGCAUACGACCUACGGGUGAAAGCAGGGGAUCUUCGGACCUUGCGCGAUUGAAUGAGCCGAUGUCGGAUUAGCUAGUUGGCGGGGUAAAGGCCCACCAAGGCGACGAUCCGUAGCUGGUCUGAGAGGAUGAUCAGCCACACUGGAACUGAGACACGGUCCAGACUCCUACGGGAGGCAGCAGUGGGGAAUAUUGGACAAUGGGCGCAAGCCUGAUCCAGCCAUACCGCGUGGGUGAAGAAGGCCUUCGGGUUGUAAAGCCCUUUUGUUGGGAAAGAAAAGCAGCAGGUUAAUACCCCGCUGUUCUGACGGUACCCAAAGAAUAAGCACCGGCUAACUUCGUG
rnacentral:rRNA from 1 species